UACGUAGGGUGCAAGCGUUGUCCGGAAUUAUUGGGCGUAAAGAGCUCGUAGGCGGUUUGUCGCGUCGGCUGUGAAAACCUGGGGCUCAACCCCGGGCCUGCAGCCGAUACGGCAAACGUAGAAUUCGGUAGGGAGACUGGAAUUCCUGGUGUAGCGGUGAAAUGACGCAGAUAUCAGGAAGAACACCGAUGGCGAAGGCAGAUCUCUGGGCCGUAACUGACGCUGAGGAGCGAAAGCAUGGGGAGCGAACAGG
rnacentral:rRNA from 1 species